GCGACUUGUACUGUGAAACUGCGAAUGGCUCAUUAAAUCAGUUAUGGUUUAUUUGAUGGUACCUUACUACUUGGAUAACCGUAGUAAUUCUAGAGCUAAUACAUGCAGGAAGUCCCGACUUCGGAAGGGAUGUAUUUAUUAGAUAAGAAACCAAUCCGGUCUUCCGGUUGCGUGCUGAGUCACAAUAACUUUUCGAAUCGCAUGGCCUUGCGCCGGCGAUGGUUCAUUCAAAUUUCUGCCCUAUCAGCUUUCGAUGGUAGGAUCGAGGCCUACCAUGGCGUUUACGGGUAACGGAGAAUUAGGGUUCGAUUCCGGAGAGGGAGCCUGAGAAAUGGCUACCACAUCCAAGGAAGGCAGCAGGCGCGUAAAUUGCCCGAAUCCUGACACAGGGAGGUAGUGACAAGAAAUAACAAUACAGGGCUACAUUAGUCUUGUAAUUGGAAUGAGUACAAUUUACAACUCUUAACGAGGAUCAAUUGGAGGGCAAGUCUGGUGCCAGCAGCCGCGGUAAUUCCAGCUCCAAUAGCGUAUAUUAAUGUUGUUGCAGUUAAAACGCUCGUAGUCGGAUUUCGGGGCGGGGUUGCUGGUCUGCCGUUGGGUAUGCACUGGUGACCGCGUCCUUCCUUCCGGAGACCGUCCCUACUCUUAACUGAGCGGGGGCGGGAGACGGAUCUUUUACUUUGAAAAAAUCAGAGUGUUUCAAGCAGGCAUAUCGCUUUUGCAUGGAUUAGCAUGGGAUAAUGAAAUAGGACUUUGGUGCUAUUUUGUUGGUUUCGAACACCGAAGUAAUGAUUAACAGGGACAGUCAGGGGCACUAAUAUUCCGUUGAGAGAGGUGAAAUUCUU
rnacentral:rRNA from 1 species